rnacentral:rRNA from 1 species
UACGUAGGUGGCAAGCGUUGUCCGGAAUUAUUGGGCGUAAAGCGCGCGCAGGCGGUUUCUUAAGUCUGAUGUGAAAGCCCCCGGCUUAACCGGGGAGGGUCAUUGGAAACUGGGAGACUUAGAGUGCAGAAGAGGAGAGUGGAAUUCCAUGUGUAGCGGUGAAAUGCGUAGAUAUAUGGAGGAACACCAGUGGCGAAGGCGACUCUCUGGUCUGUAACUGACGCUGAGGCGCGAAAGCGUGGGGAGCAAACAGG